GUCCUUUUGAUAAUAAUUUAAGGUCUAACCUGCCCACUGAUUUGAUUGAAUGGCCGCGGUAUCUUGACCGUGCAAAGGUAGCAUAAUCAUUAGUUUUUUAAUUGAAAGCUGGAAUGAAUGGUUUAAUAAAAAAAUAACUGUCUCUUUUUAAUUCAAUUAAAAUUUUAUUUUUAGGUUAAAAAGCCUAAAUUUUUUAAAAAGACGAGAAGACCCUAUAGAGUUUUAUAUAAUUGGGUUUUUUUAUUAUUAGUAUUUAUUUUUAAAGUUACUUGUUUAUAUUUGAUUGGGGCGAUUGAAAAAUUUAAUUAACUUUUUUGUUGGUUAUAUACUAAUGAGUAGAUUAUUGAUCCUUAAUUUUUGAUUAUAAGAUAAAAUUACCUUAGGGAUAACAGCGUAAUUUCUUUUGAAAGUUCAAAUUGAAAGAGAAGUUUGCGACCUCGAUGUUGGAUUAAAAUUUGAUUUUGGUGAAGAUGCUAAAAAUCUGGGUCUGUUCGACCUUUAAAAUUU
rnacentral:rRNA from 1 species